UUAAAACUUUCCUAGCGUGUUAAAUUCUGCUACCUCACCAACGACAACUUGGACCUUGACCUCCAAUGUGUGUUCGACCAAAUUCCCUUCGUAGAGGCUGGGAAGAGAGGUAUAUCGCUUUCAGCUCAGAGGCUUACGUUGAAAGAGGAAGUUUGGAGAUAAAUGCUCUUUUUCUCUUCAUGUCAGUCUGGGAUGUGGAAGCAGAGAAUGUGUCUGUUUUGCUCACCAUCACAUCUGCGGAGCCUAGCCCAAUGCCUGGCAUGGAGUCAGGAUGCAAUCAUAAUUUGCCACAUGGAGGAAUAAAUGGUUGGCUUGUCCCGUGACUGGCCACUCUCUGUCUUACUUCCUCAUCUGUAAAAUCGAGCACUUUCUUUACUUACAUCAUAAGAUUUCCAUGAAGGUGAAAUAAACUGAUGAGCAUUUUUUGUUUUUAUUUUUUGAGACAGGGUCUCGCUCUGUCGCCCAGGCUGAAGUGCAAUGAUGUGGUCUCAGCUCACUGCAACCUCCGCC
rnacentral:lncRNA from 10 species